UACAGAGGGGGCAAGCGUUAUUCGGAAUUAUUGGGCGUAAAGGGCGCGUAGGCGGCCUUGCAAGUGGAAGGUGAAAUCCCUCGGCUUAACCGAGGAACUGCCUCCCAAACUGCUUGGCUUGAGACCGGGAGAGGUGAGUGGAAUUCCCAGUGUAGCGGUGAAAUGCGUAGAUAUUGGGAGGAACACCAGUGGCGAAGGCGGCUCACUGGACCGGUACUGACGCUGAUGCGCGAAAGCGUGGGGAGCAAACGGG
rnacentral:rRNA from 1 species